rnacentral:rRNA from 1 species
UACGUAGGGUGCAAGCGUUGUCCGGAAUUAUUGGGCGUAAAGAGCUCGUAGGCGGUCUGCCACGUCCGCUGUGAAAACCUAGGGCUUAACCCUGGGCUUGCAGUAGAUACGGGCAGACUAGAGGUAGGUAGGGGAGAAUGGAAUUCCCGGUGUAGCGGUGAAAUGCGCAGAUAUCGGGAGGAACACCGGUGGCGAAGGCGGUUCUCUGGGCCUUACCUGACGCUGAGGAGCGAAAGCGUGGAGAGCAAACAGG